GCGCGCAUGCAUCUACGGGGUUUCCUUUCUCAUUAUCAGCCUCGCCACGUUUUCUGGCUGCCAUUUUGGACUUGGAGCAGGGAGAAACAGUUUCAGGAUUAUGAAAAUACUUGCCUGAUGGCUUUACUACUGUGAGUUGUCAUUUCUUUAACUGAUGCCCGACUUCAGCUUUUUGAAGUGCCACAGUCUGUCGAGUCCCUUAUUAGUAUUCUGAAGGAGAAACUGCAGUUACAAGGACAGUUCAUCUUGCAAUUUCAGGACCCCGAUUUUGGGAAUGCCCUUUGCAGCCUGACUGACAUCUCGGAACUGCCCAGUGAAAAAGCAGUCUUGCAUAUUCCCGGAACAUCCAUGCAACCACACAGAUGCUUCACUUGAAGAACAAAGACUUUUAUUGAUUGAUGAAACAAAAAAGGCGAGAAGCAACAUGGUGGUCAUACGGGAAAAAAUGGGAUUAACUUUUUCCCUGAGGAGAAAAGAAGUGGUAGAAGAUCAACCAAUGGUUGUAGACUUGCAGCAGAGGUGGCCUGCACUUUUUCUCCAGGAACAGGUAAUAUGUCAGGUUUUUCUUUGUUAAAAAGGCUAAUUUGAAUGAUUUUGUUUUAUUAUCCUAAAUUUGUUAGAAACGUAUAAAAUGUUUUUAUUACUUAAAGGGUUAGUUCACCCCAAAAUGAUAAUUUUAUCAAAACUCACUUACACUUCUGAUUGUCUCCAGAUCACAUUU